GCUGUGUCCAUGCUUUGUUUACAAUGAUCUGAAAAGGCUAUUUUCUAUUUUCUAUUUUAAAGCCCCAUCUUGGAGCCUUUGAUUUUGUUAAGUUAUUACACACUUUCAAAAAUGUGAAGGCUGAAAUUUCAUUGGCUGAUGUAAUGAUUACCGGAACAGGUAAUAAUAGAGUGUUGUCAGAUCCUUGUAACCAAAGCUUGGACACAGGAUCUGUUUGUUUUAAAUAACCUUGACGGUUAAUUGUAAUUUUGAUCAUAAAAUCAUAAAAAUUAUAUAAAAGAAAAGAAAAGGUCUGUGACUGUAUGAAGUAAAAUAUGUAAGAUUUGAUUAAAGGCUUGUAUUUUGAUAUAUAUGAAAGUUGCAAUGACUAUUUAUAAUCAUAUUGAUUAUAAAAUGAGAAUGUGUCUAUAGGCCACAUAUGUCUCUAAUGCCACUGAGGAUAUAGCUUUAGUCAGAACAGUACUCCCCAUUUUAGCAAUUAACUAGUUGUGUCAGUAUAACCAUCAAUGCUAGAUGCAUUGCCAAAGGCAAUCGAUUCAAAUCUAAUCUGCAAUUGCUUUCAAUAAAACUAAAUAUUCUCUAAGAUUUUAAAUGACAAAAAAAA
rnacentral:lncRNA from 1 species